rnacentral:lncRNA from 1 species
CACAUCUCAGGAUGGGGCAAUAUUUGGUGAGAACCAUAUUGGAUUCUACCAAAUUACAAAUAUAUUCCAGGUUGGCCUGAUCACUCACUCACCACUCCCUGCAACUCCAUGGAGAAGAUAUAAGCUGUCAAAAAUGUAUUUGUGAGUCUGAUGAGCUCUUUCACCCAGGUGACAGGGGUUUCUGCCAUAUUAAUAUUCUUCUUCUUCUCCACCUUUUGUGUUUCAAUGCUGGGCCUGGAGAAGGCAGGGACCUUGGCUCUUCCACGGUGGCUGUUCAUCAGCACUCACACAUCCACCACACCGGUUUAGUCGCACGCUGGAAGUAGAGACGGGGUUUCACCGUGUUAGCCAGAACGGUCUUGAUCUCCUGACCUCAUGAUCUGCCCGCCUCGGUCUCCCAAAGUGCUGGGAUUACAGAUGUGACCGAGCAAGAGUUUGUCAAUUCAGAGGUAGACCCCAGAUGGUGGGAAUCAAAGGAGGGAAGUGAGGGGCACACGGGCCUCUGGGGGCUGAGGCAGGAGACAGCUCUCUGCCUUUCUCAGAGGACCUUUGGAGAUGUGAAUGAAAACAGCUGUCUGAACAAGUGGUACCCUAACUAGCGCGGCUGUGAGUCUGAAGCUUGAAAUGGGGAAGUUGGUCAGCAUGGGUGAGCUAUGCAGCCCAGGUGAAGGGAUCCUCAAGCAGCAGCCUCUGCCUUUUUGUCUUCUCCUUUUCACGGAGAUGACAAGAAUCACCCCAGGACUUAUCUUCUGAGGUGCUCAGCUGUGGUCCCAGUGCUGCUUUGGUCACUGCUAUGGCGGGUGGAAGCAGGAUGGGUGAAGUCAUUCUGGAGAACAAGGUAAAUUAUAGCCAAAUUAUAUAUUUGCAUAUGCCAUGACCCAGCAUCCCAAUAUAUGCCAGAGAAACUCUUGCACAGAUUCAUGUGG